CCAAGGAGUCUAACAUGUGCGCGAGUCGUAGGGCUCGCCACGAAGCCCGAAGGCACAAUGAAAGUGAAGGUCGGCCAAGCCCGCCGAUCGAGGCGGGAUCCGCAAACCCUGCUGGCCCGGGCUCUCUCCGUCUCUCCUCUCUUUUUUGCGGGGAGGGUCUGGGGGACGCCUUUGUGGCCUCGGGGAGCGGCGCACCGCCGGCCCGUCUCGACCGCAACGCCGGUGAGGCGGAGCCAGAGCGCACACGUUGGGACCCGAAAGAUGGUGAACUAUGCCUAGGCAGGACGAAGCCAGAGGAAACUCUGGUGGAGGUCCGUAGCGAUUCUGACGUGCAAAUCGAUCGUCGGACCUGGGUAUA
rnacentral:rRNA from 1 species